ACGGAAGGCAGCAGUGGGGGAUAUUGCACAAUGGAGGAAACUCUGAUGCAGCAACGCCGCGUGAGGGAAGAAGGUCUUCGGAUUGUAAACCUCUGUUUUUGGUCAAGAAAUAAAUGACGGUAGCCAAAGAGGAAGCCACGGCUAACUACGUGCCAGCAGCCGCGGUAAUACGUAGGUGGCAAGCGUUGUCCGGAUUUACUGGGUGUAAAGGGUGCGCAGGCGGGACUGCAAGUUGGAUGUGAAAUACCGGAGCUUAACUCCGGGGCUGCAUCCAAAACUGUGGUUCUUGAGUGGAGUAGAGGUAAGCGGAAUUCCGAGUGUAGCGGUGAAAUGCGUAGAUAUUCGGAGGAACACCAGUGGCGAAGGCGGCCUGCUGGGCUUUAACUGACGCUGAGGCUCGAAAGUGUGGGGAGCAAACAGGAUUAGAUACCCUGGUA
rnacentral:rRNA from 1 species